rnacentral:rRNA from 1 species
UACGGAGGUUGCAAGCGUUGUUCGGAAUGACUGGGCGUAAAGGUAGCGCAGGCGGCCAAGUCAGUCUGAAGUGAAAGCCCGGGGCUUAACCCCGGAAUAGCUUUGGAUACUGCCUGGCUUGAGUGCGCGAUAGGAAAGCGGAAUUCCAGGUGUAGCGGUGAAAUGCGUAGAUAUCUGGAGGAACACCGGUGGCGAAAGCGGCUUUCUGGCGCAUAACUGACGCUGAGGCUCGAAAGCGUGGGGAGCAAACAGGAUUAGAUACCCCUGUA